rnacentral:rRNA from 1 species
CCAAUAGCGUAUAUUAAAGUUGUUGCAGUUAAAAAGCUCGUAGUUGAAUUUCGGGAUCAAUAUGUUGGUCGUGCCUUGGUACGUACUAAUUUAUUGGUUUCUUCCUUCUGACGAACCAUGAUGUCAUUAAUUUGGUGUCUUGGGGAAUCAGGACUGUUACUUUGAAAAAAUUAGAGUGUUUAAAGCAGGCUCACGCUUGAAUACAUUAGCAUGGAAUAAUGAAAUAGGAUGUUUGAUUCUAUUUUGUUGGUUUCUAGGAUCGACGUAAUGAUUAAUAGGGAUAGUUGGGGGCAUUAGUAUUCAAUUGUCAGAGGUGAAAUUCUUGGAUUUAUUGAAGACUAACUACUGCGAAAGCAUUUGCCAAGGAUGUUUUCAUUAAUCAAGAACGAAAAUUAGGGGAUCGAAGACGAUCAGAUACCGUCGUAGUCUUAACCAUAAACUAUGCCGACUAGGGAUCGGAUGAUGUUAAUUUUUUAAUGACUCAUUCGGCGCCUUACG